GGAAGGGACGGUCUUUUGCUUCCUGGCGCGCAGGAAGGCGGGUGGGCCUUAGGCUGCGAUGGAAGCCACGCGCCUUCCGUUCCCAUUCUCAGAGGCCUACUUCCAAGGUCGAAGUUGGGAAGAUCGAGGGAAUCGGCCAGGAAUGGAGCCCGGAUGAUGAUGGGUAUAGGCAAGUCCACCCUCAGGUUUGGAUGAGAGAUUUAUACUCCAAAAUAUAUAUAGCUUGCCAAGUGCUUGCUCAAGAUCCAGCACAGUGAAAGAGGGGAUUUGGAACUGACUGGAGAAGUUCCCAAAUUCAAUAAAGCAAAAGCCAGAGGACUAUGUUCCCCCCCCCCCCAAAAGGUGGCAACAGAAAGGAAUGUUCUACAAUAUAACGGUUAUUUAUGAGGCCUGUGUUGGGAGCUGAAGAGUACCAAAAUUACCUCUUUUGAAACAGCAAGCCAAAGUGCGAAGAGAAAUAAUUUGAAAAUAAGGAAUUCUUAAAACAUUUUUCAUACUGGUGGCUAUGGGGAUGGUUUCAAAUAAAAUAUAAUUUUUUGAGUGGCUGUUAUCUGAAAGCAGAGCAGAGGAACUGAACAAUUUGACAUGGAACAUCAAUGAUCAAGUGAUAGAAAUGUCUGGUUUUCAUUAUAAUUUAAUAAAACAAAUCACGAGUUUCAAA